rnacentral:rRNA from 1 species
CAGCAGCCGCGGGAAUACGGAGGGUGCAAGCGUUAUCCGGAUUCACUGGGUUUAAAGGGUGCGUAGGCGGGCAGGUAAGUCAGUGGUGAAAUCUUCGAGCUUAACUCGGAAACUGCCGUUGAUACUAUCUGUCUUGAAUAACGUUGAGGUGAGCGGAAUAUGUCAUGUAGCGGUGAAAUGCUUAGAUAUGACAUAGAACACCGAUUGCGAAGGCAGCUCACUAAACGCUCAUUGACGCUGAGGCACGAAAGCGUGGGGAUCAAACAGGAUUAGAUACCCCUGUAGUCCCUGUCUCUUAUAC